rnacentral:lncRNA from 1 species
UGUCAGACCCUGUUUAUUAUCAAGGUAUAUUCUAUUUUUUGAGUAAACCUAUUUUCUAUUUUUGAGUAAGCUUAUAUUACUUUAAAUUGUUGAACCCCUAUUUAAAGUGUACCUUUAAACUAUGUUUCUAUUAAGAUCACCUCUCUGGUAUAUGCUACUGGUGAAACAAAGAGAUGGGAACAAAAAGACCCCUAUUCGAUAGGCCUUGUUUAUGUCUUAAACCCAGACCACUUCCUUUAUUCGUAGAGUACAUAAAUGAUGAAUGACCAGUGGAUACACUUACUGGUACCCCUUUGUCUUGGGGGUAGGGAAUAGUGGGGUUGUUUGCCUGGUUUGGAAGAAAGAUUGGCUUUCUCGUUGAGAGCAAGUUUAGACUUCAAGGCAGAUAGACGUGUGAUGUAACUUCCCCCAGAAGUUACUAUGUCGCAGCUUUUUAAGACCUGCCUUGAUUUUGUUUCUUAACAGAGUUCCACCAUGGUUCCACCAUGGUUCCACUUCCAUUUCCCUCGGGACAAGAGUUGGGACUGCUGUCGUUGUUCAGGCAACGCUCUCCGCCUGAUCGAUGUAUUUAGUGCUUAUUGACGAACGACUCGUGUUUUAUCAUUGGUGCUUUAUAUGAACAUCUAUUUUCUUCUAUUCUUCGAUGUUUUUUCUAAUGUACAGUGUAGUUUACUUUGCUCUUUUGCUAUCAUUCUUGUAAUAAACAUUGUAAAGCUUUGCAUGUAGCUGUUUUUGUAAUAUUGUUGUUUGAAAUCGGAAAUGCCAGUUGUCACACUGGGAGUUUAUUAUCGGUGUACCUUUGACACUGAAUAUUAAUAAAUACCUCUUUGGAAUUAUCAUUGGCACAAAAUAUAUGUUUCAGACUUAUGUAUUUUAAUGGAUCUCCGUGUUUACUAAUCUUAAUUAAUUGAACCGGCGCAGGCAUAUAAGGCCUGUGUAACAAAUGGAGGCACUGCCCGGAUGUUAAAUUUUCUUGGAAAAUAAUAGUUGUUUUUCCCAAAAGGAAAAUCUUGUUUAGGUUAUACAUUUUUUAUAAUUGCUUUUAAUUGAGAAUUAGGUUCUCUUUACCUCUCUCUUGCUUGGAAGAGAUUAACAAUAUUCUGUGUAUAUGAUUGUUGUUGUGUUGAUUGCCACAACUUGUAAAACACUAAGUUGGACAUAGCGUAUAUUUGAAAGUGGUCUUAAUAAUUUGAAGUGUGACCUAAUCAAUUUUUGUUGCUGUUGUUCAGGUCAAAUCAGUAGCAGCCCUACUACUGACAGGCGUAACAGUAAACAAGGGGUAGCUUGUCCAGCUUAGUUGUUAUUGUGGUUUCUAUUUUGCCUUAUCAAUAUUCUCAUCAUAUAAUUAUUUUUGUUUUCUAUAUAAUAAUUAGCACGUUCUUGAAUCCUGAUUGGUGUUAUAAAUAGUAUAUUUAGGCACCUUAAUAUCUUAAACUAUUUUGUUAACCCUGUUUUUGGAUAGUUUAGCUUUAUAAUCUGUUUAAAGAUGUCUGACUCUUACCCUAAGUUUAAGGCAGAGCUAGUGAAGUUUCUGGCCGAACAGGUGGCCAAAGAUAAACGUAAGAAGAGUUCCAUAAGGCGAUCUGCAAUUAUGAGUUUGCAGAUGAAGCCAUCUCAUCAGGCCACAUCUGAUAAAUCUCCAGCCGCACUAGUGGGUACCCAAUUCACUGUCUGGGCUGAGAUUGACGGAGUGUGUGCCCUGUGAGUGCCUGGACACUGGGUCGAUCCCAAGUGACAUGCAUAUCUGCUUAUUGUUAUCACGAAAAGUUAGCGCACCGUCACUUGGAAUCCAUGACGACCUGUUCGUGUUUGGUGCAGGUGGAAUCAGAAGUUCCAUACAUUGUUGGGUACAUCGAGGCCCAUCUGCACUUUCACACUGACAAUUAGGUUUGCGUUCAGUCAGAGACGACAACGCUGGCACUGGUUAUUUUUAUUUUACAAGUUUUAUUGGACAAGUUAGCACCAAACCAAUGAAAUCCUUAAUUGCCACCACCCUUCCCGGGUGAAGCUCAUUCUACCCAAGAAUGAAGCAUAGUGGCAGGAGUUAGUUGGGUGUGGUGUUUGACUGAAGAGGUGCACCUAAUCUUUAGGUCAUUUACAGCGAAUUACAUCUUGCCAUCUUGGUAGGAAAGUAUGAGAUUGGUUAAUCUCUCUCUGUCCUCUGAAGUCUGCGGAAAUUUAUCAUUGUAUUGACUUGUAAUUAAAGAUGUCGGGACGCCAUGAUUCUAGGAGGGGAGAGUGUCAGACCCUGUUUAUUAUCAAGGUAUAUUCUAUUUUUUGAGUAAACCUAUUUUCUAUUUUUGAGUAAGCUUAUAUUACUUUAAAUUGUUGAACCCCUAUUUAAAGUGUACCUUUAAACUAUGUUUCUAUUAAGAUCACCUCUCUGGUAUAUGCUACUGGUGAAACAAAGAGAUGGGAACAAAAAGACCCCUAUUCGAUAGGCCUUGUUUAUGUCUUAAACCCAGACCACUUCCUUUAUUCGUAGAGUACAUAAAUGAUGAAUGACCAGUGGAUACACUUACUGGUACCCCUUUGUCUUGGGGGUAGGGAAUAGUGGGGUUGUUUGCCUGGUUUGGAAGAAAGAUUGGCUUUCUCGUUGAGAGCAAGUUUAGACUUCAAGGCAGAUAGACGUGUGAUGUAACUUCCCCCAGAAGUUACUAUGUCGCAGCUUUUUAAGACCUGCCUUGAUUUUGUUUCUUAACAGAGUUCCACCAUGGUUCCACCAUGGUUCCACUUCCAUUUCCCUCGGGACAAGAGUUGGGACUGCUGUCGUUGUUCAGGCAACGCUCUCCGCCUGAUCGAUGUAUUUAGUGCUUAUUGACGAACGACUCGUGUUUUAUCAUUGGUGCUUUAUAUGAACAUCUAUUUUCUUCUAUUCUUCGAUGUUUUUUCUAAUGUACAGUGUAGUUUACUUUGCUCUUUUGCUAUCAUUCUUGUAAUAAACAUUGUAAAGCUUUGCAUGUAGCUGUUUUUGUAAUAUUGUUGUUUGAAAUCGGAAAUGCCAGUUGUCACACUGGGAGUUUAUUAUCGGUGUACCUUUGACACUGAAUAUUAAUAAAUACCUCUUUGGAAUUAUCAUUGGCACAAAA